rnacentral:lncRNA from 1 species
GCUGUAAUCCCUUGACUUGGAUCUGGACCGCCCAUCUAGCGAUCUUCUAUCCCUUCAUCUUUUGCCAUCACCAUCUCCAAUCACCAUCAUAGCCAAGUUGCUACCUAAACUUGAAAUUCGAUUCUCUCACUUGAGAAUUUUAUUCUAAAAAAGUACAGAAGUGAUCUCAUCUAUCUUGAUGGUGCUCUUCUCUAUAACA